rnacentral:rRNA from 1 species
ACGGAAGGCAGCAGUGGGGAAUAUUGCACAAUGGGGGAAACCCUGAUGCAGCGACGCCGCGUGAGUGAAGAAGUAUUUCGGUAUGUAAAGCUCUAUCAGCAGGAAAGAUAAUGACGGUACCUGACUAAGAAGCCCCGGCUAAAUACGUGCCAGCAGCCGCGGUAAUACGUAUGGUGCAAGCGUUAUCCGGAUUUACUGGGUGUAAAGGGAGCGCAGGCGGUACGGCAAGUCUGAUGUGAAAGCCCGGGGCUCAACCCCGAUACUGCAUUGGAAACUGUCGAACUAGAGUGUCGGAGGGGUAAGCGGAAUUCCUAGUGUAGCGGUGAAAUGCGUAGAUAUUAGGAGGAACACCAGUGGCGAAGGCGGCUUACUGGACAAUAAAUGACGCUGAGGCUCGAAAGCGUGGGGAGCAAACAGGAUUAGAUACCCUGGUA